UUGAAACAAGGAUUAAUAAAAAAGAAAAAAAAAAAAAGAAAAAAUGAUUCUUUCUGAAGUUUUAGGUAACAGUCAAUUCCUUUUUUCUUCUAAUUUUUUACUUUUUUCGGUCUAAUUUCUG
rnacentral:ribozyme from 13 species